GGUGAACGCUGACAGAAUGCUUAACACAUGCAAGUCGAACGAGACCUUCGGGUCUAGUGGCGCACGGGUGCGUAACGCGUGGGAAUCUGCCCUUGGGUUCGGAAUAACUCGCCGAAAGGCGUGCUAAUACCGGAUGAUGUCGUAAGACCAAAGAUUUAUCGCCCAGGGAUGAGCCCGCGUAAGAUUAGGUAGUUGGUGAGGUAAAGGCUCACCAAGCCGACGAUCUUUAGCUGGUCUGAGAGGAUGAUCAGCCACACUGGGACUGAGACACGGCCCAG
rnacentral:rRNA from 1 species